GCCCACGUAGCUCAGCUGGUAGAGCGACGCAUUCGUAAUGCGUAGGUCAGCGGUUCAACUCCGCUCGUGGGCU
rnacentral:tRNA from 1 species